rnacentral:lncRNA from 1 species
CGCAGAAGUUGGACAAAGACACACCCACAGGGAAAGCACCAUGAGAAGAUGACGGCAGAGAUCUGGGCGACGCGUCUACAAGCCAAGCGACACCAAAGGUGGCCAGCAGCCCAUGUGAAGCUGGAGGAGAGGCCUCGAAUAAAUGCUCCCUUACAGCGUUCAGGGGGAACUGACCCUGUCCACACCUUGACCUUGAACUUCUGGGCUCCAGAACUGUGAGACAGCAUGUUCUGUUGUUGAAGGAGCAGCGUGGCUAGAGGAAUUCCUGCAGCUUAGAUUUCGCUGGCACUGUUACCACUCCCAGAGAGGAGCGGCUGGAGUUCACGGCUGGUUCCUGACAAACUUCCUAAUUAAUCUGCUAAAGAUCAGAGGAGGACUAAUAGGAGCUGAAGACUGUAGUUAAUCCUAAUAAAAAAUGAUUACAGAAGAGGACGCCUCCACCCACAGGAAGGAGCCAGCACGGUGGGGAGCUGUUUCACCAGGGGAGUGUUCUCAGCAGCUGCCACACGUGGAGUUGUGGAGGUAGCAAGCAGAGUUGGGGGAGGAGGGGGAGCCCUGGUUCCUGCUCUUCCAUGAUCAGUGUGCAGCCUUGAGCAUGGCACUCCCUCUCUUCCCAGCUUAGUGUCCUCAUCCGUAAAAUGAGGGGCUCUCUGAGAGUCUGCCAGGGCCGCUGUCUGAUCUGUGACAGCGUGGCAUGUGGUGUGGUAUGUAAUGCACGUUCCUGCCUGCAGGGAGGCCCUCUCCCUUCCCCCACCAGGCUUCUGGGCAGCACUUGCUGUCAUCCUUGCUUCUGGAACAGGACUGUGCUGUUUUCCAGGCCAAAUUGGAGGGCUGAGGGGGUCUAUUAAGAAGACUCUGGGGAGAUGGUGGAACAAUUCUGUGCUUGAAAUUACCUUCCUCUUUAAAUCUUGCCAUGGCCCUAUUAGAAAAGCUAAGGGGGCAGGAGGAGAGGAGCGGGCAGGGAGAGGAGAGAGAGAGAGAAGAAGGAAGAAGGAAAGGGAAAGGUAAGAAACCCCAUAGCCCGACCCUCAGCCCUGUUGAAGGAGAUUAUAUAAAUAGAGUCGCUGUCACUUUGAUGAAUUAAAUCCUCCGUUAAUUAGGACGCAUCCAUUUAAGGGUUGUCCAGCCAGAUAGUCCUUUUCCCUUCCCAGCAAGUCAUAGCUCAGGGAGGAGGCAUGAGAGGGAUCGUUUUCUGUUUCUGGCUUGAUUGCUGGUUUCUUUCUUACUAGGCUUCAUUAAUUAUCCUGGAAUGUGGUCACCCAGUUUUCUUCAACAUGGGCCAUUCUCCUUUUAGCAGGAUCUUGGCAGUGGACUGCCACGGGAGCUCUGGGGAAAAAGGACCAGUUGGACUCCAGUACCUCCUGAGAGACCACCACCCUCCAUGCCUCCAGCUCAUGCCCAGCUCUGAGUCAGACGGACUCUUCCUGUUGUACUGCGAGGUUCUGCAAACCUUGAAGGGCAAACACAGUGAGGGUCUCUGACUUGCUGUGUGGACAGCCCACUCUCUGACAGCCCAGAUCAUCUGAAGCUAUCCCUGGGCUGGGAGCUGGAAGCCAUUCUUGUGAACCACUCCUUAUACCUUGAGCGAAGCCUCUUUGGGUCCCAGAAGUCUGAAGCUCCAGCUGCCUGGCAAGACUGAGUCUAGAUGAUUUCUUGGGUACCAGUAGUUUGGCAUUUAAAAAUACUGGAUUAACUGCAGUGUAAACUUAGAUUGCAUUUCAGAUUGUAAACAAUAACCCCCGUGCUUCAUGUGAUGUUAAAUCAGAAAUGAGCUAUUAGCCAAGCUAGUCCUCUUAUGAAUGAGCCCCUAACCCUGAUCCAGGGAUCGUUGAAUGAAAAUCAUCAAAAUGAUUUAUCUUCACUUUACCUAUUGUCUCACAAGAAUCUCAUCACUCAGGGAAAAGGAGGGUGUUCUUCAGGGAACGGAGGGCAUGAGGAAGGGGGAUUUCCUUAUAUCUCAACUUUCAGAGGGAGCUGAGUUGUAAACAGAUGGAACAAGGUGUGUACGAGAAGCCUCUUAGAUUUAGUCUUUCAUAUCAAGGCUCUUGCUGAAAAUCCUGGCACAGCUGUGAAAUGAGGGGAGCUCUGACACACAGAGACACGCUCCUUGCCUCACCAACCUUCCCAUACACAGUCAUGCGCACAGAGAGCAGGUACCAAUACUGAAAAUGCCCUUCCGGAGUUUCCUCAGCUUAAACCCUUGACAGCAUUAAGUGAGGAAGGAGUUUCCUUGACCUGGGGAAGAAGAACCAACUCAUAAACAUGGAACUGUG